rnacentral:rRNA from 1 species
AUUGAACGCUGGCGGCAGGCCUAACACAUGCAAGUCGAGCGAGCGGCGGACGGGUGAGUAAUGUAUGGGGACUGCCCGAUAGCGGGGGAUAACUACUGGAAACGGUGGCUAAUACACCAUACUAUCGGAUAACCCAUAUGGGAGUAGCUAGUAGGAGUGGUAAAGGCUCACCUAGGCGACAAUCUCUAGCAGGUCUGAGAGGAGGAUAAGCCACACGGGGCGUGUAACAAGGCCCAGAACCCUACGGAGGCAGCAUGGGGGAAUAUUGCACAAUGGGCGCAAGCCUGAUGCAGCCAUGCCGCGUGUAUGAAGAAGGCAUUAGGGUUGUAAAGUACUUUCAGCGGGGAGGCGUUACCCUCAGAAGAAGCACCGGCUAACUCCGUGCCAGCAGCCGCGGUAAUUC